AACCUUUCUCUCUGCAAAGAAAAGCAGAAACCAAGAAUGUGCGACUCACACUUCCUCUCUCGCUGUUCAUCAUACGAGGCAGACUUUGAUUCUGACUCAGACAUCUCUACCUCAAGCUCAUGCUCCUCGUACAGUGAAUCUGAGGAGGAGAUAAACAAAGACUUCGGUUAUGAGCUAUCAACAAAGAAGUUGGAGAAUAAGAAGAAGAAGAGCAAUGUGUUGCUUGAAGGGUACGUUCUUGAUGCGGUGGUGAAUGAUGAUCUGAAGAGGACCAAGAGUUUAACAGACGACGAUCUAGAGGAGCUUAAAGGUUGUGUAGAUCUUGGUUUCGGGUUCAACUACGAGGAGAUUCCUGAGCUUUGUAAUACUUUACCUGCUCUUGAGCUUUGUUACUCGAUGAGUCAGAAGUUCAUGGAUCAAGAUCAUCACCAUACUUCUUCGC
rnacentral:lncRNA from 1 species